rnacentral:snRNA from 1 species
AAAGCUUUGAAUCAUCAUCUGUUACGUCCCCCAUAGGGGGACUACAUAUUAAAUGGAUUUUUCGAACAGGGAGUCGGAAAUGGGGCUUGCUCCGUCCGCUCCACGCAUCGACCCGGUAUUGCAGUACCUCCGGGAACGGUGCAACACUU